rnacentral:rRNA from 1 species
CCUACGGGAGGCAGCAGUAGGGAAUUUUCCGCAAUGGGCGAAAGCCUGACGGAGCAAUACCGCGUGAGGGAAGAAUGCCUACGGGUUGUAAACCUCUUUUUUCAGGGAGGAACAUAAUGACGUGUACCUGAAGAAUAAGCAUCGGCUAACUCCGUGCCAGCAGCCGCGGUAAGACGGAGGAUGCAAGUGUUAUCCGGAAUCACUGGGCGUAAAGCGUCUGUAGGUGGUUUAAUAAGUCAACUGUUAAAUCUUGAGGCUCAACCUCAAAAUCGCAGUCGAAACUAUUAGACUAGAGUAUAGUAGGGGUAAAGGGAAUUUCCAGUGGAGCGGUGAAAUGCGUAGAGAUUGGAAAGAACACCGAUGGCGAAAGCACUUUACUAGGCUAUUACUGACACUCAGAGACGAAAGCUAGGGUAGCAAAUGGGAUUAGAUACCCCAGUAGUCCUAGCUGUAAACUAUGGAUACUAGAUGUUGAACAGAUCGACCUGUGCAGUAUCAAAGCUAACGCGUUAAGUAUCCCGCCUGGGAAGUAUGNUCGCGAGGAGAACGACGAAAGAAAGUAGUAGCGUUGUAGAGUUGCGACGGACGACGACGAGGGAGGAGG